rnacentral:rRNA from 1 species
GACGAAGGAUGCAAGCGUUAUCCGGAUUCAUUGGGUUUAAAGGGUGCGUAGGCGGACUGAUAAGUCAGUGGUGAAAUCUCUUUGCUUAACAAAGAAACUGCCAUUGAUACUGUCGGUCUAGAGUAUAGAUGACGUUGGCGGAAUAUGACAUGUAGUGGUGAAAUACUUAGAUAUGUCAUAGAACACCGAUUGCGAAGGCAGCUAACGAAACUAUAACUGACGCUGAGCACGAAAGUGCGGGGAUCAAACAGG